UAAAGACCACAGUAGGCUCUGACAAUUGAAAGUCAAUGAUUCUGGCCUUGUUAGCAGACGCAAUAGAAAUAAACCUCAUUCAGCUUCCCAAUUUUGUCCAGUCAACAGCUCUAGAUUUUAUUUGUGUCAUUUUUUGUAAAUUCUUGGGGAAUGUUGAAAAUAUUGUAGCAAAAAGCACUGACUGCAUUGGAUUUCAGUUUGACAACUGAACUAAAUAGUUUACUGAAAGCCAAUCAGCUGUCGGACUCAACCAUCAUAGUACCUUUUUCCGUGAAGAAGUUCAACUAAACACCCUAUCAGAAUGUGCUGCGGACCUUGCUACUCGUGCUGCGGACCGUGCGGAGGAUGUUGCGGACCUUGCGGAGGAUG